rnacentral:rRNA from 1 species
UACAGAGGGGGCAAGCGUUGUUCGGAAUUACUGGGCGUAAAGGGCGCGUAGGCGGCCUGCUAAGUCGAACGUGAAAUCCCCGGGCUCAACCCGGGAACUGCGUCCGAUACUGGCAGGCUUGAAUUCGGGAGAGGGAUGCGGAAUUCCAGGUGUAGCGGUGAAAUGACGUAGAUAUCAGGAGGAACGACCGGUAGGCGAAGGCGGGUCUCGUGGGCCGAUACGUGACGCUGGAGGAGCGAAAGCGUGGGGAGCGAACAGG